GACGAACCGUGCGAACGUUGUUCGGAUUCACUGGGCUUAAAGGGCGCGUAGGCGGGCGAUCAAGUCAGGGGUGAAAUCCUCCGGCUCAACCGGAGAACAGCCUUUGAUACUGGUCGCCUCGAGGAAGGUAGGGGCAUGUGGAACUUCCGGUGGAGCGGUGAAAUGCGUAGAUAUCGGAAGGAACGCCGGUGGCGAAGGCGACUACCUGGCCUGUUCUUGACGCUGAGGCGCGAAAGCUAGGGGAGCAAACGGG
rnacentral:rRNA from 1 species